rnacentral:lncRNA from 1 species
UAAUGGCUGAAACCAACAAGAGCACAUUCCACAUUCACACAUGUAUGUCAAAAUCCUGACAAACUUCCAGGCAGGCCCAUCGCCAAGUGCAACAGUGUCCUCCAGUUCAUGUAUAAACCUUCCGUACUACCUACCCCAACCAACCCAGAAGUAACAAGUACCUCCUCUCCAUAAAGGACUGUCCUGCUCUGCACUGUCCCAUGCAUCUUACCUACAGCCAAUGUUUCAAUAGACAGAAAGCUCUUAGGAGCUUAGAGGAAAAGGGUGAUGGCUGCAGUUAUUUUCCAAGCAAGUCCUGUCACACGUCCAGGAAUCCUAUUCUGUACCGGGCAACUCCGGAAGAAUCACACCCUCUAGCAACACUGAAAGGGACCCUGGAGAAAGAGAGGAAGAGAGGGAGAUGGAAGAAGCCAACCAGACAGAUGCUUUGUCAUUUGCUUCUUUGCUUGGUCAGUUGAUCUCUCUCUCUCUCUCUCUCUCUCUCUCUUUCUGGUUUGGGUAUUGAAUACAGGGUGUCAUGCAUGCUAAGUAUGCUCUCCACCACUGAACCACACUCCAGCAUGUUUUUUGUUUUUUGGAAAGAGCACUGAUAUUUGAAAAUGAGUAGAAAGCAGUGCUUAGAUAUAAUCUAAUCAUGUCAUGCGUUUGUC